CAUCCAGCUUGGUGAAUUAUUAUACGGAUUCAUGAAAAUCAUACAUAUGGAUAUUGUGGCAUCAGUAGAAAAGUUCUAGGGAGACUGAGGCAGAAGGAAGCUUCCCAAGCUCCAGAACCGAUUGUGGGUGCCUCAUGGUGGAGGAGCUGACAGGAUGUGCGAUCUAUAGUUUAAAAGGGGGAACAAUUUGGUCAUGCAGUGUAUGUUCCCACAGAGAAGUUCAAGCUG
rnacentral:lncRNA from 1 species